rnacentral:rRNA from 1 species
CCUACGGGUGGCUGCAGUGGGGAAUAUUGGACAAUGGGCGAAAGCCUGAUCCAGCCAUGCCGCGUGUGUGAAGAAGGCCUUCGGGUUGUAAAGCACUUUCAGUGGGGAAGAAAGCCUUGGGGCUAAUACCCUCGAGGAAGGACAUCACCCACAGAAGAAGCACCGGCUAACUCCGUGCCAGCAGCCGCGGUAAUACGGAGGGUGCGAGCGUUAAUCGGAAUUACUGGGCGUAAAGCGCGCGUAGGCGGUCUGAUAAGCCGGUUGUGAAAGCCCCGGGCUCAACCUGGGAACGGCAUCCGGAACUGUCAGGCUAGAGUGCAGGAGAGGAAGGUAGAAUUCCCGGUGUAGCGGUGAAAUGCGUAGAGAUAGGGAGGAAUACCAGUGGCGAAGGCGGCCUUCUGGACUGACACUGACGCUGAGGUGCGAAAGCGUGGGUAGCAAACAGGAUUAGAUACCCCAGUAGUC